UGGUAUGUGGAGGCCAUCUGUAACACAUCUCUAAGGGUCACAGUGGUUUCAGCGGAUCUGGUGGGAAAGGCAGCUACUUCCUCUUUUUCUCAUCAUUCUACUUGGGCCCUUGCCAAAGAUGCACAUUUGGUCAAGAAGCACAGUGUUCCGAACAGAAGGACCAUUUAUCUUAUCAAGGGUAUUCAAGGAUUUGUUCUUUCUCACUGCGAGUUCUAAAAAGGUUUAUUUAGGGCCAGAGAGAGGAUGACAUAGGACAGUAAAUUUUCCAAGACUGCCAUUCACUGAAAAACUGUUU
rnacentral:snRNA from 1 species